AAAUCAAAUGCACACAGCCUCAGGUAUGGUGUUAUAAACAUAUAUAAUACAUAUUAUAUAUAUCGUUAAUAUAGCUAUUUAAAAGGUGGACUAAUGGGUUACUAGACAUUUCAGGUGACCCCACGUGGGGACGUGACCCUAAGGUUGAAAAACUCUAAUCAUUGCAAAGAAUAAAAAUACUGCCGCAUUUUCCUGUGCAGAAAUUUUAUUUUAUUUUUCCAAGGAAACACAUUACAGGUCGUUUAUUAUAUUAACAACGUUAAUAUAAUAAACGUUUGUUGAACGGUAACAACUCGACCGACCUUCGCGGCUUCGUUAGCUGAGGAGCUCCCACGGAGUUGGACCUUGUUGGACAUCGAUGUCUCCGUGUUGCGUUUGAUUGACACUGAAUGAAGAUUCAGUAAUAAACCUGUUGUUUGUGGAGCUGCAGAGACUCGUCCUCACCCUGAAAACAAAGACAUUUCUGGUUCCUUCCAGAGUUCUGUAGAACUCUUCUGUAGAAAAGGGAUCGAACGGUUACCUAACGACCAUUAAAUUUGCAUUAACAUGUGUCACUACUGCAGUCGUGUUAUUUUUCAGGGACUAAAAAUAAAAGUUGUCCGAAGGUGACCUCUAGAUUUUGCACUCAGUGUUUUCCCUGUUGUUGAUAUUGUUUUUCCGUGUCGUUCAUGUUUUGUAAUUAAUCAGAUUCAACAUUACAUUGUCUUAGAGUGUAAAAACCACAGACACACAUGAGUUCACAUUUCCCCAGACAGCUGUCUUCUGACCUAUGUCUAAACAUUAGGGUUAAAUUGGAGUUUUAAAUGAUUCAUAAACACUGCCCCCUCUGUUCAGGAGUC